rnacentral:pre_miRNA from 1 species
UAUAGCUUGCGAAGAAUGCCGAUCCGGUCAGCCAUUCAACAAUCUAUCAGUAAUAAACGGCCACCGGGUAGACAUUCAUUCGCAAGAUAUUAU